UACGAAGGGGGGCUAGCGUUGUUCGGAAUCACUGGGCGUAAAGCGCACGUAGGCGGAUCUUUAAGUCAGGGGGUGAAAUCCCGAGGCUCAACCUCGGGAACUGCCUUUGAUACUGGGGGAUCUCGAGUCCGGGAGAGGUGAGUGGAACUGCGAGUGUAGAGGUGAAAUUCGUAGAUAUUCGCAAGAACACCAGUGGCGAAGGCGGCCAACUGGUCCGGUACUGACGCUGAGGUGCGAAAGCGUGGGGAGCAACAGG
rnacentral:rRNA from 1 species